CCUACGGGAGGCAGCAGUGGGGAAUAUUGGGCAAUGGAGGAAACUCUGACCCAGCAACGCCGCGUGAAGGAUGAAGGUCUUCGGAUUGUAAACUUCUGUCGCGAGGGACGAAGAAUGACGGUACCUCGAAAGAAAGCCCCUGCCAACUACGUACCAGCAGCCGCGGUAAUACGUAGGGGGCGCGCGUUGUCCGGAAUGACUGGGGGUAAAGGGAGUGUAGGCGGUUCUUUAAGUUGUAUGUGAAAUCGCGCGUCUCAACCGGGGAAGUGCAGAUGAAACUGGGGAGCUGGAGUGCAGGAGAGGUGAGUGGAAUUCCUAGUGGAGCGGUGGAAUGCGUAGAUAUUAGGAAGAACACCGGUGGCGAAGGCAGCUCACUGGACUGUAACUGACGCUGAGGCUCGAAAGCGUGGGGAGCAAACAGGAUUAGAUACCCUGGUAGUC
rnacentral:rRNA from 1 species